CGUCGCUCGUUAAUUUUGCGUGAAAACUGGUCAUUCAUCCCGAACUGCCCUUCACCUCCCGUCCUUUUCACUUUACAAAAACUUUCUGCUGGAAAUGCUCGAAUUUGGCAAUGAUUGGACUGACUCCCUGCUCGUGGUCCUCCUAGCCUGUGUACUCAGUGGAAGUUGAUGUUAGUGAGUGUCUCCUUCAGGAUUUUCAGCGCUGUCGACAUGAAGUUUUUUACUUCCUAGCCUCUGGAUUAUCAGGGGUACUCUCAGAAAUGCCGGAAAAGAUGAGGUUAUCCCACAUGCUUCAUGACUGGCACCAACAAACUCUGGGGUUUAUUGUCAGCCUCCAGGCUCAACUGAUGCUGGGUUUCCACAGCAACAGAUGCAGAAACCAACAAAUCAAUACUUCAUCUCUAACAAACUCCUAAGUGAUGCAGAGCAGCUUUCAAACCUCCGGACUUCACUGUCUGAAACCAAAAGCACAUUUUUCGGGGUUGGCCUCAUCUCAUGCAAGGCAGCGCUCAUCCCACCUCAUAAACUGAUGGCCCAACGGCAAGCACAGAUUUCUUUCCCAUGAUGACUGGGGGCGGAGCCUGAACUUUGCAACUACAGUGGCUUUGUGGACAGACAGCCUGACAUCAUCUCGCAGGGAAGUGUAUGCAUAAUAGCGGGCUGGAUGUCACCGGCGAGUGUGCAUUGCGGCAGGCUCCUAGCUUUUAUUUGCAAAAAAAACAAAAGACUUCAGAGUGUGUAAAAAAAGGCAAAGUCAGAUGAAGACAACAAUAGCAUUUUGACUUGUAGAGGCAGCUUUCUAACACUAAAUUGUGAGUAUGCGGCGCAAAGACACACCAUCAAACACUAACACCCACCUCCGUCACCGUGGCAGUCAAGUCAGUGCUGCUUACGAGAAGCUAAUGCUGAUGGUGAACACUAA